CCUACGGGCGGCAGCAGUGAGGAAUAUUGGUCAAUGGGCGGGAGCCUGAACCAGCCAAGCCGCGUGAAGGAAGAAGGCGCCAGGCGUCGUAAACUUCUUUUGUCGGGGAACAAAGGGCGCCACGCGUGGCGUUGUGAGUGUACCCGAAGAAAAAGCAUCGGCUAACUCCGUGCCAGCAGCCGCGGUAAUACGGAGGAUGCAAGCGUUAUCCGGAUUUAUUGGGUUUAAAGGGUGCGUAGGCGGUCCGGAAAGUCAGCGGUAAAAGCCCGGGGCUCAAACCCGGCGAGCCGUUGACACUGUCGGACUAGAGACGACGAGAAGUACGCGGAAUGCGCGGUGUAGCGGUGAAAGGCAUAGAUAUCGCGCAGAACUCCGAUUGCGAAGGCAGCGUACCGGCGCCGGACUGACGCUGAGGCACGAAAGCGUGGGUAGCGAACAGGAUUAGAUACCCCUGUAGUC
rnacentral:rRNA from 1 species